AACGAACGCUGGCGGCAUGCCUAACACAUGCAAGUCGAACGAUCCCUUCGGGGAUAGUGGCGCACGGGUGUGUAACGCGUGGGAACCUGCCCUUAGGUUCGGAAUAACUCAGAGAAAUUUGAGCUAAUACCGGAUAAUGUCUUCGGACCAAAGAUUUAUCGCCUUUGGAUGGGCCCGCGUUGGAUUAGCUAGUUGGUGGGGUAAAGGCCUACCAAGGCGACGAUCCAUAGCUGGUCUGAGAGGAUGAUCAGCCACACUGGGACUGAGGCACGGCCCAGACUCCUACGGGAGGCAGCAGUGGGGAAUAUUGGACAAUGGGCGAAAGCCUGAUCCAGCAAUGCCGUGUGAGUGAUGAAGGCCUUAGGGUUGUAAAGCUCUUUUACCCGGGAUGAUAAUGACAGUACCGGGAGAAUAAGCCCCGGCUAACUCCGUG
rnacentral:rRNA from 1 species